rnacentral:rRNA from 1 species
GACGAACGCUGGCGGCGUGCUUAACACAUGCAAGUCGAACGGAAAGGCCCCUUUGGGGGUACUCGAGUGGCGAACGGGUGAGUAACACGUGAGUAACCUGCCCUUGACUUCGGGAUAACUUCAGGAAACUGGGGCUAAUACCGGAUAGGAAUCCUUGCUGCAUGGUGGGGGUUGGAAAGCUUCGGCGGUUUUGGAUGGACUCGCGGCUUAUCAGCUUGUUGGUGGGGUAGUGGCUUACCAAGGCUUCGACGGGUAGCCGGCCUGAGAGGGCGACCGGCCACAUUGGGACUGAGAUACGGCCCAGACUCCUACGGGAGGCAGCAGUGGGGAAUAUUGCACAAUGGGCGGAGGCCUGAUGCAGCAACGCCGCGUGCGGGAUGACGGCCUUCGGGUUGUAAACCGCUUUCAGCAGGGGCGAAGCUUGUGGUGACGGUACCUGCAGAAGAAGCACCGGCUAACUACGUG